rnacentral:rRNA from 1 species
GAUGAACGCUAGCGGCAGGCUUAACACAUGCAAGUCGAGGGGUAUAGAAAGCUUGCUUUCUGGAGACCGGCAAACGGGUGCGGAACACGUACACAACCUACCUUUAUCAGGGGGAUAGCCUUCGGAAACGGAGAUUAAUACCCCAUAGUAUUAUGGAGUGGCAUCAUUUUAUAAUUAAAGAAUUUCGGAUAGAGAUGGGUGUGCGUAAGAUUAGCUAGUUGGUGAGGUAAAGGCUCACCAAGGCAACGAUCUUUAGCUGAUGUGAGAGCAUGAUCAGCCACACGGGCACUGAGACACGGGCCCGACUCCUACGGGAGGCAGCAGUGAGGAAUAUUGGUCAAUGGACGGAAGUCUGAACCAGCCAUGCCGCGUGAAGGAUGAAGGCGUUCUGCGUUGUAAACUUCUUUUAUUUAGGAAGAAACCACUUUUUUUUAAGAGUGUUGACGGUAUUAAAUGAAUAAGCACCGGCUAACUCCGUGCCAGCAGCCGCAGUAAAAC